rnacentral:misc_RNA from 1 species
UGCUGGUAUUGGGUGCUCUUCAGGGUUAAAACCAAAAUGUUUAGCUAUAACUGUUAUAAGCCCACCCAGGACAAUGUCACCUAUGGAUUUAGUGGCAAUAUGCAACACAUGCUCACAAAAGAAAUAACCAGGAGAAACCUUGACCUUGUGAAAAGCACACCAUAACAUGAAUAAUUCAGAUUUCCCCACAGCACCAGAACUAGUACCUCUACCCAAAAUAGUGCUAGCAAUGAGUCUAUGAAUAAACCUAAGUGCAGGG